AGAACGCUGAAGAGAGGAGCUUGCUCUUCUUGGAUGAGUUGCGAACGGGUGAGUAACGCGUAGGUAACCUGCCUGGUAGCGGGGGAUAACUAUUGGAAACGAUAGCUAAUACCGCAUAAAAUGGAUUAUCGCAUGAUAAUGCAUUGAAAGGUGCAAAUGCAUCACUACCAGAUGGACCUGCGUUGUAUUAGCUAGUUGGUGGGGUAACGGCUCACCAAGGCGACGAUACAUAGCCGACCUGAGAGGGUGAUCGGCCACACUGGGACUGAGACACGGCCCAGACUCCUACGGGAGGCAGCAGUAGGGAAUCUUCGGCAAUGGACGGAAGUCUGACCGAGCAACGCCGCGUGAGUGAAGAAGGUUUUCGGAUCGUAAAGCUCUGUUGUAAGAGAAGAACGAGUGUGAGAGUGGAAAGUUCACACUGUGACGGUAUCUUACCAGAAAGGGACGGCUAACUACGUGCCAGCAGCCGCGGUAAUACGUAGGUCCCGAGCGUUGUCCGGAUUUAUUGGGCGUAAAGCGAGCGCAGGCGGUUAGAUAAGUCUGAAGUUAAAGGCUGUGGCUUAACCAUAGUACGCUUUGGAAACUGCUUAACUUGAGUGCAAGAGGGGAGAGUGGAAUUCCAUGUGUAGCGGUGAAAUGCGUAGAUAUAUGGAGGAACACCGGUGGCGAAAGCGGCUCUCUGGCUUG
rnacentral:rRNA from 1 species